rnacentral:sRNA from 1 species
AGUAUCUGACUGUCUUCUCUCAGAUGAUUGCAUUUCAUGAUCCAGAGCUGAGUAAUCAUCUCAAUGAGAUUGGCUUCAUUCCAGAUCUCUAUGCCAUCCCUUGGUUUCUUACCAUGUUUACUCAUGUAUUUCCACUACACAAAAUUUUCCACCUCUGGGAUACCUUACUACUUGGGAAUUCCUCUUUCCCAUUCUGUAUUGGAGUAGCAAUUCUUCAGCAGCUGCGGGACCGGCUUUUGGCUAAUGGCUUUAAUGAGUGCAUUCUUCUCUUCUCCGAUUUACCAGAAAUUGACAUUGAACGCUGUGUGAGAGAAUCUAUCAACCUGUUUUGUUGGACUCCUAAAAGUGCUACUUACAGACAGCAUGCUCAACCUCCAAAGCCAACUUCUGACAGCAGUGGAGUCAGAAGUUCGGCACCUUAUUUCUCUGCUGAGUGUCCGGAUCCUCCAAAGACAGAUCUGUCAAGAGAAUCCAUCCCAUUAAAUGACCUAAAGUCAGAAGUAUCACCACGGAUUUCAGCA